rnacentral:rRNA from 1 species
AGAGUUUGAUCAUGGCUCAGGAUGAACGCUAGCGGUAGGCUUAACACAUGCAAGUCGCGGGGUAACAUUGGAGCUUGCUUCAGAUGACGACCGGCGCACGGGUGCGUAACGCGUAUAUAACCUGCCUUAUACAGGAGGAUAGCCCCGAGAAAUUGGGAUUAAUACUCCAUGGUAUUUUGAUGUGGCAUCACAUUAAGAUUAAAACUCCGGUGGUAUAAGAUGGAUAUGCGUAUGAUUAGCUAGAUGGUGAGGUAGAGGCUCACCAUGGCGACGAUCAUUAGGGGUCCUGAGAGGGUGAUCCCCCACACUGGUACUGAGACACGGACCAGACUCCUACGGGAGGCAGCAGUGAGGAAUAUUGGUCAAUGGGCGCAAGCCUGAACCAGCCAUACCGCGUGAAGGAUGAAGAUUCUAUGGAUUGUAAACUUCUUUUAUAUACGAGGAAUAAGGCUCACGAGUGGGUUGAUGACAGUAGUAUAUGAAUAAGGACCGGCUAACUCCGUGCCAGCAGCCGCGGUAAUACGGAGGGUCCAAGCGUUAUCCGGAUUUAUUGGGUUUAAAGGGUCCGUAGGCGGGCUAAUAAGUCAGUGGUGAAAUCCUACAGCUCAACUGUAGAACUGCCAUUGAAACUGUUAGUCUUGAAUUAUUUUGAAGUUGGCGGAAUGAGUAGUGUAGCGGUGAAAUGCAUAGAUAUUACUCAGAACACC